ensembl:miRNA bta-mir-2285k-2 bta-mir-2285k-2
GUUGGGUUAGCCAAAAAGUUAGUUCAGAUUUUUCCAUAGCAUCUCAUGGAAAAACCGGAAUGAACUUUUUGGCCAACCCAA